rnacentral:rRNA from 1 species
UACGUAGGUGGCAAGCGCUACUCGGAAUCACUAGGCGUAAAGCGCAGGUAGGCGGUUGGAUAAGUCUGUUGUGAAAGCUCCCGGCUUAACUGGGAGAGGUCAACGGAAACUGUCUAGCUAGAGUGUGGUAGAGGUAGCUGGAAUUCCCGGUGUAGCGGUGAAAUGCGUAGAUAUCGGGAGGAAUACCUAUGGCGAAAGCAGGCUACUGGACCAUCACUGACGCUGAUCUGCGAAAGCUAGGGGAGCAAACAGG